GACGAACCAUGCAAACGUUAAUCGGAAUUACUGGGCGUAAAGCGUGCGCAGGCGGCUUUGCAAGACAGAUGUGAAAUCCCCGGGCUCAACCUGGGAACUGCAUUUGUGACUGCAUGGCUGGAGUGCGGCAGAGGGGGAUGGAAUUCCGCGUGUAGCAGUGAAAUGCGUAGAUAUGCGGAGGAACACCGAUGGCGAAGGCAAUCCCCUGGGCCUGCACUGACGCUCAUGCACGAAAGCGUGGGGAGCAAACAGG
rnacentral:rRNA from 1 species